rnacentral:rRNA from 1 species
AAUGAACGUUGGCGGCGUGGAUUAGGCAUGCAAGUCGAGCGAGAACCCCGCAAGGGGGGACAGCGGCGAAAGGGACAGUAAUGUGUAGAUUAUCUGCCCUCAGGUCCGGGAUAGCUGCGGGAAGCUGCAGGUAAUACCGGAUAACAUCUCCGGAUCAAAGGUGUGAUUCCGCCUGAGGAUGAGUCUGCAUCCUAUUAGCUAGUUGGUGGGGUAAUGGCCUACCAAGGCAUUGAUGGGUAGCAGGUGUGAGAGCACGACCUGCGUCAUUGGGACUGAGACACUGCCCAGACACCUACGGGUGGCUGCAGUCGAGAAUCUUCGGCAAUGGGCGCAAGCCUGACCGAGCGACGCCGCGUGUGGGAUGAAGGCCUUCGGGUUGUAAACCACUGUCAGAGGGGAUGAAAUGCAGGUGGGUUCUCCCAUCUGUUUGACAUAGCCUCAGAGGAAGGACGGGCUAAGUUCGUG